AAGAAAAGCUAAGUGAAAAACUCAAUAAAACCCAAAAGUCUGCUGACGUUUCCAGAGGUACCCGAUUUCCUUAGGAAUAAAAUUUUGGAACUAGAAUGUGAGAUACAGAGAGUGAAAGAGUGCUUACACAGCUUUGUCGUCUAAACUAGGGAUACUAUCGGUAAACUCUGAUAGUACCCCUACUCCUAACGCUAAUCCAAAAUCUUUAUCCCAACUAGCCACCCUUGCAUCCCCUGCAAAGUCUCCCAGCUCCAAAACUCAGAAGACUUCUUGGAACUCGGUCACUCCCAAGGAGGUGAUGUCGAAAUUGUGUAACUACGACGCACCCCACUAUUUAUGGUUCAGUGUUGAAAUUUAUGUAUAUUGAAUUGUAUUAAAGUAUUUUAGACCAA